AUAUCUCUCUGUACGGGAAGGAUGAGAAGCUUCGACUAAGGUUCGAUUCGAGCGCAGCGAGAAAGCGUUGCCGCAGG
rnacentral:sRNA from 3 species